AGUGAACGCUGGCGGUAGGCCUAACACAUGCAAGUCGAACGGCAGCACAGUAAGAGCUUGCUCUUACGGGUGGCGAGUGGCGGACGGGUGAGGAAUACAUCGGAAUCUACUUUUUCGUGGGGGAUAACGUAGGGAAACUUACGCUAAUACCGCAUACGACCUACGGGUGAAAGCAGGGGAUCUUCGGACCUUGCGCGAUUGAAUGAGCCGAUGUCGGAUUAGCUAGUUGGCGGGGUAAAGGCCCACCAAGGCGACGAUCCGUAGCUGGUCUGAGAGGAUGAUCAGCCACACUGGAACUGAGACACGGUCCAGACUCCUACGGGAGGCAGCAGUGGGGAAUAUUGGACAAUGGGCGCAAGCCUGAUCCAGCCAUACUGCGUGGGUGAAGAAGGCCUUCGGGUUGUAAAGCCCUUUUGUUGAGAAAGAAAAGCAGCAGGUUAAUACCCCGCUGUUCUGACGGUACCCAAAGAAUAAGCACCGGCUAACUUCGUG
rnacentral:rRNA from 1 species